AUUGAACGCUGGCGGCAGGCCUAACACAUGCAAGUCGAGCGAGCGGCGGACGGGUGAGUAAUGUCUGGGAAACUGCCUGAUGGAGGGGGAUAACUACUGGAAACGGUAGCUAAUACCGCAUACCAUCAGAUGUGCCCAGGGGGGAUUAGCUAGUAGGUGGGGUAACGGCUCACCUAGGCGACGAUCCCUAGCUGGUCUGAGAGGAUGACCAGCCACACUGUAACGGAGACACGGUCCAGAUUCCUACGGGAGGCAGCAGUGGGGAAUAUUGCACAAUGGGCGCAGGCCUGAUGCAGCCAUGCCGCGUAUGUGAAGAAGGCCUUGGGGUUGUAAAGUACUUUCAGCGGGGAGGCGUUACCCGCAGAAGAAGCACCGGCUAACUCCGUGCCAGCAGCCGCGGUAAUAC
rnacentral:rRNA from 1 species